AUGGCGCCUUCGGUGUGCAAGUUUCCACGUGCCAGCUAGGAAAAAUAUCUUUUUAACAGCCCUUCACCACUCAAAUCGUCAAAAAAGGUUCAUUAGGUCAAUUGUCAACCAAGAACCACACCAGACACCCAAUGUUCAAACUUCAAGCACAUUGUUGCCUCUAAAAUCUAAAAAUAAAAUGUUAUGUCUUUCUUA